rnacentral:rRNA from 1 species
AAUGAACGUUGGCGGCGUGGAUUAGGCAUGCAAGUCGCGCGACAAGGAACCUUCGGGUUCUGGAGGAGCGGCAAACGGGGUAGUAAGGCAUCGGAACGUACCCUCUUGUUGGGAAUAGCCGCGGGAAACUGCGAGUAAUGCCCAAUAAUCCCUACGGGGCAAAGGUCCGCCGCAGGAGGAGCGGCCGAUGUGAUACCAGCUAGUUGGUGAGGUAAUGGCUCACCAAGGCUUAGACGUCUAGGGGGUGUGAGAGCAUGGCCCCCACCACUGGGACGUGAGAUACUGCCCACGACACCUACCGGUGGGCGUGCAGUC